CCGGCCUGACUCACUGGCGCGCGGCCGGCCCACAGCCGGGCCCAGGCCCCCGGAUGUGGGGGGCGGGAAAAGGGGCCACCCCCGCCCACUGCGUGCCAACCUGAGCCCCGCCCGGGGUCUCGGCUCCAGCUUAAGCCUGCCCGCCGAGAUGUCGCGCGGCGGUGGCGCCUGAGCUCCCUGCCGGUUGCGCUCUGCGUCGCGGGCGUCCGGUGUGCGCCAGCUCGGACCCGGGCCAGUCCGCAGCCCGAAGCGUGGCCGAUGCUCCCAGAGGGCGCCCAGCCCGUCCCGCUCCUCCGCCGCCGUCUCCUCUCCUCCUGCCUCGCCCGCCCGUCUCGGUUUCCAGAACCCGACAGCUUCGGAAGAGGCGCGUUCCGUCCAUCACCUCCUUGAUUCUCGCUGCCUCCUCUUAGGUUAAUAGGACUUCCCUGGUGGCACAGUGGUUAAGAAUCUGCCUGCCAAUGCAGGGGACACGGGUGCGAGCCUUGGUCCAGGAAGAUCCCACAUGCCGUGAAGCAACUAAGCCCGUGCGCCACAACUACUGAGUCUGUGCUCUAGAGCCCGCGAGCCACAACUACUGAGCCCACGUGCCUAGAGCCCGUGCUCCACAACAAGAGAAGCCACUGCAAUGAGAAGCAUGCGCACCACAACGAGGAAUAGCCCCCGCUCACCGCAGCUAGAGAAAGCAGCAACAAAGACCCAACGCAGCCAAAAAUAAUAAAUUUAAAAAACAGGUCAAUAAAUAAGGCCUAGCUCUUAGGUGAAGGCCUACAUGAAAUAAA